AACGAACGCUGGCGGCAGGCCUAAUACAUGCAAGUCGAGCGCUCAUAGCAAUAUGGGAGCGGCGGACGGGUGAGUAACACGUGGGAACAUGCCUAUCGGUUCGGAAUAACGCAGGGAAACUUGCGCUAAUACCGGAUGCGCCCGAGAGGGGAAAGAUUUAUCGCCGAUAGAUUGGCCCGCGUAGGAUUAGCUAGUUGGUGAGGUAACGGCCCACCAAGGCGACGAUCCUUAGCUGGUUUGAGAGAACGAUCAGCCACACUGGGACUGAGACACGGCCCAGACUCCUACGGGAGGCAGCAGUAGGGAAUCUUGGACAAUGGGGGAUACCCUGAUCCAGCCAUGCCGCGUGAGUGAUGAAGGCCUUCGGGUUGUAAAACUCUUUCGCGCGCGACGAUAAUGACGGUAGCGCGAGAAGAAGCUCCGGCUAACUUCGUGC
rnacentral:rRNA from 1 species